AAGCGUUCAUGACCAGACUUGGGCAGGUUGAUCAUCCGUGGUUCUCCGCGGUGCACUCUGCCUGCCCAGGCCAGCAUCAGUUUUCCCCGGGGGAUAAAGGCGGCGGGAAUGUGGCUCUCUUCGGGGAGUGUUAUAGCCCACCGUGUAAUGCCCUGGGACGGACUGAGGUUCGCGCUCUGCAAGGAUGCUGGCGUAAUGGUCAUCAACGA
rnacentral:rRNA from 1 species